GCCGCGGUGGCGGAAUUGGUUUACGCGUAGCGCUUAAAACGCUAUGGGGAAUUAUCCCCGUGUGAGUUCGAGUCUCACCCGCGGCACCC
rnacentral:tRNA from 1 species